AGUAAGGGUACGGUGUUUUCCCGUGAGCUGGAUCUUUGGCUACUGUCAGGCUCAGUCCUAACCACUGCGUCGGUACGCAGGUUAGACAGAUGGGUAUCUCUGCUCUCAAAUUACUCGAAGGCGGCGCGGGUCUGAUGCAAAGAUAGUCAUUCCCUAUUCAGAUUCUCACCCAGACCUUUAUGGAAGGUCUUCUCCACGGCUUCCGCACCAGGCAUUCCCCACGGCUCCUUCUUUCUCCCUAGGUGUCCACAAACGCUGUUCAGCGGAGAGUGCAAGAAAUAGUGCGGUUCACACGGCAGCUGCAGCGAGUCCACCCCAACGUGCUUGCUAAGGCACUGACCCGAGGAAUUCUCCACCAGGACAAGAACCUUGUGGUCAUCAAUAAGCCCUACGGUCUCCCUGUGCAUGGUGGCCCUGGGGUCCAGCUCUGCAUCACUGAUGUACUACCUAUCCUGGCAAAGAUGCUUCAUGGCCACAAGGCAGAGCCCUUGCAUCUGUGCCACCGGCUGGACAAGGAAACCACAGGUGUAAUGGUGUUGGCUUGGGACAAGGACAUGGCACAUCAAGUCCAAGAGUUGUU
rnacentral:sRNA from 1 species